ACUGUAAGUCUCGCGGAGGAGCAAGCUUUGCAAAAUGCUUGGAUUGGUAUUCCGCUGUUAAGUCUGGGAGACUUGUCCGCGUAAGGGACUCGAGAAGGCUGGCUCGGGUGUGCGACACUUGAGCGCCGCGCGGGGAUUUUUGAGGCAAAAAAGCUAACCCCGUGACAAGUUGGUAUCAGAGCUAUGUUGAGCUCUUUUGGGAUGGAAGUUUGGCCGAAAGGUGCGACCUUGGCGGCGAGGUUGGAGUGAGCAGAGUCACUCUAACGGAAGGACUUGGAGCCGACAAUGCAUCAGGGCAAUACUUCGCUUGUAAGAGAUGCGGAGUUGAGUUGUGAUGGAUAUUGGUGCUACCCACGAAGUCUUUGCGACGAGUAAAGCCGGGUGGUUCAGAAUUGCACUACGCAUGGAUGAGAGUCAGAUAACAGCGAGGGAAGUGUCUGUUGGUGUGGACUCGUGGUGGGGUGAAAGCUAAGUUCAUGUCGAUACCCUGUGAAGAUUUCCAAGUCAUUCUCAGGAUGGAGAAAUGGUUAAGGCCUUAGUCGUGUGGCAGACGAUGGGGCAAUGAUUAUGAAGAAUCUGUUUGCGGUCCGUGGUUGGAGUUAUCGCGGAGUUGGAUAUUGCGAAUGCCCAAGGAACCUGAGUUGUGCAGAGGUGCUUACGACUCAGGGUGGGGGAGUACACAAGGUGGAGAUGUAUUCCCAAAUGUGAAUCCUGGACGAUUGUGCUUCUCGAAAGGAUAUAGAUUAGGCGGUGAAACACUGGGCGAAAGAGUUUACUUCGUGCAUGCUGAGUUUGAAGUCUGACGGGCAGUAGUCUUCGUUGGGAGCAGCUUCGACCAAAGUUGCAGGAAUACCAAAGGGCUACUCGAUGGACCAGUAUUUCUCUCUUGGUAAAGGAAGAUCGAUGGGGAGAUCGAUGACUCUUUGGAGUGUGCCCAUGAUAUGGAAAGAGAAGGCAUCCUUGUGCAAGAGUAAGGAUUGAGGUUGGAAUCUUAACUCGCGGAGUGAGGUGAUAGGGCUAGCUUCGAGCAGAACGGUGACAGUGUUGGUGACUCGAGGUAGCUCACAUGUAUCCAUUGGAUGGAUGACAUGGGUUCCGCUUGAGGGAAUAGUGAAGGUUGUGGCAGAGCCGAAGCUAGCAGAGCGGAAUGUGGGGCAUUGAGAAUGCCGAUGGGGUCUGAGUGCGCUUGGUGGGAGAGCGACUCAGAGUGGGGGAGCACGUUUGGUCAUUAAGUGUUCCCAUGUGCAUUGCCUCGGUGAAGGAGCUCGUCUAUGAUAGGAAGUGGGAUACAACACAUGUGGUAAAAGAGUUCGCUUCGUGGAGCUCAAGUUGGGAGUCUAGGCAGACGAAUCCAUGGUAGUAACAGCUAGGCGUUGGACUAGGUUGUGAAGGGGACCAAGGAUUGCGGGAGAGCUUAGCACUUCUCUUGGUGCGAGAAGGCCGGUGUGGAGAUCGGUUGCUCUUUACAAUGUGCCCACGAGUUGGACAGAUGAGGCAUCAUUAGUCGGGUUGAAGUGUGUGUGGAUUCACCCGAGAUCAUGGUGCUGGUUGGAGUAUGGACAGUUCGCAACUGCGGGAAGGGUCGAGGUAUCGAAGUUCUGUAAGGGCGGUGCGCCCAGGGUAGCGACAUUACCGUGACAGCCAGACUUGCAGUUCAGACUAAGCAGAGAGUGAACUGAAUUCCGUUCAGCAAUCAAUCAUGAGGGUGGUUUCCCUAGAGUUGGGAUAUGGCAAGUUGCGAGCGAAAAGAGACAAGGUGUUCGAUAGGCUCAAACUUGGUCAAACACUUUGAUUGCGAAUCGAAGUGGAGUUCUGCGAGAGCCUAACGAAGUAAGGCUUGAGUGGAUUUGUGGGACGAAAGCUAAAGGUGCCGUGCAUCAACAAGUAGUCGAAAUGCAAAGCAGUCAGGAGGCAUGACAAAGGUGCGUGGUGAAGUCAGUAGAGCAGGAAGUAGUUGAGGCCGGCUAGUCCCGACGAAAGACUUGAAAGCUUGAGGAGACCAUAGGGGAGCUCGACGUUGUGCGAUUGUGGAGGCAUUAGGGUGGCAAAAGUUGUUUGUGGAGAGGGCACGAGUAUGGCAUGAGUACCCACAAGAGUUGUACCGAUAAAAUUCAAUAAGACAAACUUUAAUGCAAUGGAAGCGGGAGUUCAAGUGGAGGAACUCGCCACAUAUGGGGACGGGAGUUCGAGUAGAGGAACUCGCCGUAUGUGCGAGCGGGAGUUCGAGUGGAGGGACUCGCCACAGAUGAGAUCGGGAGUCGAGUGGAAAGACUCGCCGUAUAAGACUGGGAACGUCGGAUCGAGGAUCUGUCGUAGGUGCCUAGGGAGAGGCAUGAAAUCUGAUGUUAUGGUAAGGGGCAAAGGCGAAGACGAGCAGCGUGCUGAUUCGCGUGGAGAACUCCAAGACGAGGGACGUUUGGAGUCUAACCCCUAAGUCCAAGGUCGAUGGAUGUAUGACCUUGAAUCCCAGAGAGGGGAAGUUUAGUCGGAGGACUAUUUCCUUGAGAAGGAGUUAUAAGGUUGGCUACUGGACUCGUGGAACUUUGGUUAAGUCAGGACGAAGUGGGCGUUGAGGCCGAGUAGCUCCGAUGGAGAGAACCAAGUUAAGGAAGAGUGCCAGUACAAUCUUGCAAUCCGAGGGAUUANCCUGAUGUUAUGGUGAGGGGCAAAGGCGAAGACGAGCAGCGUGCUGAUUCGCGUGGGGAACUCCAAGACGAGGGACGUUUGGAGUCUAACCCCUAAGUCCAAGGUCGAGGGAUAUAUGACCCUGAAUUCCAGAGGGGAAGUUUAGUUGGAGGACUAUUUCCUUGAGAAGGAGUUAUAAGGUUGGCUACUGGACUCGUGGAACUUUGGUUAAGUCAGGGCGAAGUGGGCGUUAAGGCCGAGUAGCUCCGAUGGAGAGAACCAAGUUAUGGAGGAGUGCCAGUACAAUCUUGCAAUCUGAGGGAUUAUGAGUUUUAAGUUCUGGUUUCGUGGAGGAGUUAGUGUGGUGCGAGCGAGGCACCAAGGCUGGGGAGCUCUAACUCAGGGAGGGACAGAACACGUAUAUGGAGUGGAUGGUCGAGGAGGACCAAUGGGCUUUUCAGAAGCAUUGUUGAGCAGACGAACUCAAGGGCAGGUCAGCGUGGCAUGCGAUGCCAAGGCCAUGGGUGGCUCUGGUCUGGAAGAGUAGUACUGCUGGCAAAAGAGUUUGAAGAAGUGGUGGAGCAUCGACGAGGACGUCGAUGAUUCAAGUGGGGGAGCCUGUCACGGGUCGAUCGCUGGGACUCGAUCGUGACACCUUUUUGGGCCAUAUUUGAUAGGCAUUUGGGUUGACGAAGUUAUAGAAUUGCGGAGUUGAGGCGUUCCGUCAGGUAGGAGUCGCUGUCAAGUCAACGGAGGCAAUUCCCUAGCAAUGGCCCGUGCCAUGACAUGGAAAUAGGUGCCGCAAGCGGGGUUUGAAAUCCCUAUGCUGAAGACGCUGCUAUGGUGAGGUCACGCUGCUAUGGUGAGAGGAACUAUGGUUCUCAGGUGGUAUGGUGAGAGAAAUGAAAUCCCUAUGCUGAAGACUACUCAUCCUCGGUCACCACCAUAACCGACGGCACCGCUGUAACGACCCAGCCCACUAGCAACAAUAACUCGUUGGGCCCAAUCACUGGCCCAAAAUGCUUAAGCCCAGUUAUUAUUACUAGUGUCUAAAUCUAUUAUAAACCUAAUGACAACCCCAUUUCUAUCCGAUGUGGGAUUAUUGGGGUGUCACAGACUCCCUCCGUUAAGGCCCUGACGUCCUCGUCAGUCCAAUCACACACACAGCCCAAGAUCACCAGGCGAUGUGAGACUCGUCUCGCUAGCCCGUCAUCCAGACCCUGGCUCAGCCGAGACUCGCCACACAUGUCCAGCUGGUGAACCGGCUCUAAUACCAAAUGUAACGACCCGACCCGCUAGCAACAAUAACUCGUUGGGCCCAAACCACCGGCCCAAAAUGCUUAAUCCCGGUUAAGAAUUUAACCCUAUUAUAUCUUAUAUAUAGGACUAUCUGGGGUCUCACAACCGCCUUCUCCAGUUCUUCGCUCCUCCUCAAUCUUUCAGGUAAUUUAAUUACUUUCUUUGAUAUCUGCAUCCUAUAAUGUCAAUACGUUAGGGACAUAUAUCCUACUGAUAUACGAACAUAACAUAAAAAAAUGGUAAAUAUACUAACAAAACUUAUUACAAGAUUGGAUCAUCGAUCUUACAAAUUGAUACAUGAGUCCUAAUUACUAUAACAUAAAAAGAAGAUGACUAAAGGGAUUAGAGUGCUACCAUUAUUUUGGUACACUGUUUACUAAAGCAAAGGCCAUGCCUAAAUGCUUUGAUAGGUUCAUCACUCCCAGAAUGUAAUAAAUCAUUCAUCGAUCUUUAAAAGGUUAGUAUUACUAAAUUAGUAUUAUAAUUUAAAAGUUAUUCUACAAAAACUAAAAAUGUAAAAAUAAUAUAUUUAAAUUGCUAAAUACCAAGCUAAAAGUCUGAUUUAUGUACAUUAUUUAUUUAUAUUUGAAUUAUGUCGAGCAAAACAUGAGCAAUUAAGUUAAUUUGGGUUACCUCUUGUUCAGCUUGUUUAUUUUUCAAGUUGAAAAUGUGAUCUUAUGAUAGCUUGUUUAUUAAACAAGCGAGAUGCAUCGGAAUCAAUUUUGGGCCGAACAUAAGCUAGUGUUGAGUUGCGAACUAUAUGUUGAAUUGAUAGCCUGGUUGAUCAGAACGCUUGAUACUUGGCUGUAGUAUCCACUGUGGAUGGUUGGUAAUAUACUACUGUUGUAAUGUAUACAUGUAGUAGAAGAAUCUGGUUUAAAACCUCUAAUUAAAUUUGCAUAAGAUUAACAUAUAUAAUUAUUAUUUUGUUCCACAUGUUUGCACACAUAUUCAUGCUAAUUUAGCUAUUUGUUCCAUAUAUUUGCCCACAUAUUGUUUACCAUUUGUUUGAUAGGCUACCUAAAUAUGAAAAUUAAUUAUUUGCUAUUUACUCCUUGUUAAUGUUAGUUUCGUUAGAUUCACAUUAAAUUUUAUAUUGUUCUGGUAUAAUUCAACAAUAAAAUUUCAAGUUUGAUAAUAUUUAAAAAAUAUUACAUGAUAUGUAUGGAAAUAAAAUGUGGUUGAUUUGAAGUUGAGUGAAAACAAUGAUCUCGUUCUUAAAAAAUAAUAUAUUGUAAGAAUUAGAGCAAAUGAAAUAGCAAAAACAAUAAAAGUUUGAUUGGAAAGUAAUCUUUAGGAGAUGGACGGUUAUUUUAUAUUAUUUUAUAUAAUAUCAAAAUAGCACAUACGGCGAUACAUAAUUAAUUUCAAGCUUUUCAUAUUCUUAUAUAGGUAGGAUAUGAAAAGUAUAUUUUUCUUUUUUAAAAUUUGCUAUUUUUUUCCUUACUCUUCAUUCAAAUUAAAAUUAUCAAAAUAUACAAUUUUAUAUAAGGUAAAUUGCAUUGUUACCUUCUGAACUUUUGGUGAAGUUUCACUUUACCCCUCGAACUUCUAAAAUGGACAUCUAACACCCUAAACUCUAAUAUUUCAUUCAUUUUACCCCUUCCGUCAGUUUUCCGUCAAGCUCCAUUAACCGAAAACUAACUGAACGUGUAAAACAAAUGAAAUAUUAGAGUUUAGAGUGUCAGAUAUCUAUUUUAGAAGUUUGGGGGGUUAAGUGAAACUCGCCAAAAGUUCAGGAGAUAGCAGUGCAAUUUACCCCAAAGGGACACUCUUGACUAUAAAUUAUUUUAUUAUAAUAUGUUACUUAUGAAUUGACUACUAAUUCUCAAGUUAGUGAUCAUGCUUGAUUUUGAAUAUAUAUAUAUAUAUAUAUAUAUUAUCCUAAAAUAAAUCAUACCGUAAUUUAUCCUAUAUUUUAUUGUAAUAAAAUAAAAGCAAAAGAAAUGAAUUAGAGUGGCUUAAAGAUAAAAAAUGAGCGAUACUAACUACCUACGAUGCUCAAACACUCUACUAUCCUGGUGUACUCGCUAAUAUAGUUGAUUUAUAAUAGGUGUCCUCACUCGGAUAUAGAGAUUUUAAUUCUCAGUUAAUUUUCUGUAGUACUCGUUUGUCCCUUUUAUCUUUAGAGGUAUUGUUCUAGAAAAUACACUUAUUUUCUAUGAAACUAUGCAAUGUAAUUUUAUUGUAGUCUAAAAUAAAAUUUGUCUUUCAUUUCAGCCAAUUAGAAAUUUUUAAUAUAAAAAUAUAAAAUAAUAAUUUAUAAUAAAUUAAAAUUUUAAAAAUUAAAUUAGUGAUGUUAGAUUAAGAUAUACUGAAUAUCAUCUCAUUCUUCAAAUAUCGGUAGCGGUCCAAUCCAUUUGCUUUUUUUUAAAAUUAUUUUGUAAUAUUUUUCUUCUUGGAACUCUCACUUUGAAAUUUUUAAAAAUAAAUUAGUGAUGUUAGAUUAAGAUAUGCUGAAUAUCAUCUCAUUCUUCAAAUAUUGGUCCAAUCUAUUUGCUUUUUUUUAUUUUUUAAUAUUGUUUUUCUUGGAACUCUCACUUGUCAAAGGGGUAAAUUGCACUGCUACCUCCUGAACUUUUGACGAGUUUCACUUAACCCCCCAACUUCUAAAAUAGACAUCUAACACCCUAAACUCUAAUAUUUCAUUUAUUUUACCCCUUCCGUCAGUUUCCAGUUAACGGAGCUUGACGGAAAACUGACGAAAGGGGUAAAAUGAAUGAAAUAGUAGAGUUUAAAGUGUUAGAUGUCCAUUUUAGGAGUUCGAGGGGUAAAGUAAAACUUUUUCAAAAGUUCAGGGGGUAACAAUGCAAUUUAUCCAUUUUAUAUAUUCUCUUGAAAAUAUUUUUAGAGAAUAAUUGUACUUUUUUUUCAUAGGAGAAAAAUAUGGCAACCUUCAAGAUGAUGGUGGAGAGGUUGUUCACGAUCGGUCUUGCAUUAUUAUGAGGGGUGACAGUCUUUGAUUUUGGAAUUUCAAUCCUCUUAGUUCAGUUCGUGUCACGCCCCGGGGCCGAUUUUAAAAGCCUUUUUAAAACAGAGUUGCGGAAAACGUGCCAUUUUUUUUUNGAGUGCUUUUGUAAUUAAAUUACACACAAAAACAUCGUCAACUGAGAGUUUAGCUACACUGUAAAAAUCUCAGUCCUUACAUCGUGAGAAAAGCUAGUGAUGGAGUAUGCACUACAGUAAAAACCCACUACACGUACAUGUAUCUUGCGGCAUUCUUUGUAGUUCCUAACAAUGUGUUGCUGAUUGCGACCACGAUGACCAUCAAGAUCAAAAUCACAUCCCAUAAACAUAUAAGGGACCAUCCAAGAAGGCUCCUCUUGCUCUUCAUAGCUGUAUUUGCUAUUAUCCUUUAUAGUAUUUGUGUUGUUUCUUUUAUUGUAUCUAUUAUUUUGCUUUUACAUAUCACGACGAAAAAACUGAUUUGUUUUGGUAUGAUAGAGAUAUUAGUUUAUUUAUCAGGUUUAUCUGUUGUUUUUUCAGUGUUAGCUAGACAUGCCAUUUAUUGGAUACGUCUAGCAUGUUAUUAUUAUUAGAUAUCAGUUAUUGUAAAUAAAUUAUAUAUACUAUGAAGAUGGAUCAGUUGAAGUAUUAAAUGUUGUUUGUGGAUAAAUAUUUGGGCCACUUAUUUGCAAUUUGGUACUUUGAAUGAAUCUAUUUCUUAUAUUCAUUCAAUGAUUUGAAUGUAAUACAUUUUCAAUGAAUAUGCAUUACAAUCCCUGCAAAUAUUAAAUAUUUUGGUAAAAAUAUUUAAAAGCCUAUCCAUCCAUCUACACAUCAUUUUCAGUUAUUCCUUCUUUUUUAAAUUAAAAGAGCAUCAUUCUUUCAUGUUUAAUUAAAAGAGCAUCUUGUAGUUUAAGGCAUAUAAUAGCUAAAAAAAAAUGAUGGUUUUCAAAAUUAUAUAUGGCGUAGUAGUUAUUCUAGAAAAGGAUGGUUUUCAAAAUUAUAUAUAGCGUAGUAGUUAUUACUAGAGUAUUGGAUUACAAAAAUAUUAUUUAAUAGAAUUUCAGUUAUAAAAAUAUUUUUUUUUCUAUAUUUACAAAUAGUUUGAGAAUAGCGUGUUUUCAUAAGGAUAAACUUUACGGGUGACAACUGAUAGUAUUUAAGUAGGUUAAAAAUAUUUUUCUCCAAAAAAAGUUGUUAAAAAUAGUAAUUCUACUUUAUUCUCAGAGAUAAAAAAUUUAGUUCAAUACUAGUUUCAAUCGUUUGUUAAGACAUACGAUAAAUUUUUGAAUAAUUCAUAAAUGAGAUAAGAAAAGAGACUAAAUAAUAACCCCACAUCGUCACUAGCAAAAUCCAAAGGAAAGCACUACAAGAGAAUUAAGUUAUAGCUUCAUAUUUUUGGAACACUUUUGUAUAAAUGUUCGUCCAAAAUUUUUUUAAAAAAAUAUACCUACUAAAGCCCAAAUAUAAGGCCCAGCCCACUUAAAAAUAUAUUAACCUGCUUGACCCAACCACCCAACCUAAUCAGCCCAAAGAAAAAACCGAUCUCUACCUCGUCUCCCCUCUCUCCGACCCCUAAAACCGUAGACGUAGAUCCCCUCGCUCUCCUCCUCCGCCGCCGCCGUCGCAGCCGAUGAGGGAGGGAUCCGGCGGCCAGAGUUCAGCUGUGAGGAUCGCACGGAAACCGUAAAGGUCUAUGAUCGUCAUGUAUCCCUCCGCCACAAGUCGCCGGAGGAGUGGGCGCCAAACGUCGAGGCGGCGGCGGGCAGGAGGAGUCCGGCGUCCGCCUCCUGGCUGUGCUCGCGGUGGCGCUGAAGGUGCAAAAGGAGGAGAUGAAGAAGAAGGUGAGAUCGAUCAGUGCUAGGGUUUCUUGUUCAUGAGGAUUUAGGGUUAAUCUCUUGUGAGAAUCCCUUUGUGCGUGAAUCGCUUUGCUUGGUAUCGUAUAAAUUAAGGCUUAUAGAUGAUCUUUGAUUAAGCUUUUGGAAUUGCUCUAGUGCUUGUUUAAUUUACACAGUCCUCUUUAAGCUCUUAGCCAUUGUUAUAAUGGCAUUACGUUGAGAACCUUGAUUGGGGAUUUGUUGAAAUUAACAGCCCUGUUAAAAAAAAGCGUUUAAAACAGUCAAAAUUUAAUAGAAUCACUCUUAAAUUUAACAGCUGUUUGUGAUGUCUUCUAGAAUAUGUAUUAGCGCGAUUCAUAACAAAAAGGGAACCUGGCAUUGCUCUAGUGAUGCAAGUUCAGAGGAAAGGUAAGCUUAUCAAGUACCAGUCAAUAGCUGUUUUAACUGUUAGUUGUCUGACAAUAUUUAGAGAUAAUAUAUCUGAGAAUUGACAAUUUUAUCAGUCGAUGUCUUACAGCAGCCUCUUGUUAUUAGGCAUGUUUUGAUCACUAUAUCUUUAUGUAUGAUACAUAGUCAUCAUAAUUUUAUUUCUCUCAUUCUUGUGCACUGUGGCUCAGUUUCUUGUGGACUGUUCAGGUUUUUCUAAUGUAUUGUGCAAUGAUUGAGCCAAAUAUAUCAAGUAUGAUCCGUUGUUUCUCAUUUAUACUUCUACUUUAUUACUUGACCUGGAAAAUAUUUUUAACAUUAAUCAUUCUAAGAAUUUAAUUCUAGCUAGAGUGAAUGGUAGUCAUAUCUUUUACUCUUUAUUCCUUGAUCUGUUUUUGUCACAACUGCACCCUAAUUAUAGUAAACAGAGGAAAUGUCAAAGCUAGAUGUUGGCAGUAUGUUUCAAUUUGCAUUGUAGCGUUUUGACUUCUGUUAAGUGUUAAAAUCUAUGAUUCAAAUUUAAAUGCUUUACAGAUGGGAAGUUAGUUCUUGUGCGAUGGACUCUCUGUACGAUCUAAACCUCAUAUCAAAAGUAGUUCCAAUGUUUUUGGACAACUCCAAGGUGUGGCACUAAAUACUGUCAACAAGUAUGAAACUAGAAAAGAGAGGGGUGGCUCACGUGGAAGGAGUCAGCAGAUUUGAUCUCAAAGAAAAUAGCAUGUACUCAAAUGUACUCCUAAUAAAUCACACUGCAAGUCCUCUGGCAUGGUAAAAUUUAUUGUUAUUAUUUCAUUAAUAACCUUUCAUUCUUUCUACUUGUCAGAUUUAAUAUCUAGGAUGCAUUUCUUUUGCUCGUAAAUAUCAAAAUCGAUGAAAUAUGGACAAAUUUGCUAGGUGAAUGUUUGUAACAUCAAGUGCUAGUCUUGAUCAUGAUAACCAUCCAGUUUUAUGGAGUGCAAGGAUAGAGCCAAUCACAGCUCUGUUUUGCUGCCACACUCCUUUGCCAACCAAAGCAGCUGAAAGAGUGCAAAAUGUGGCAGAUAAAGUAUGUCUUCUUCAGCUUUUUCUUUUUUUCCCCCUUUAAUUUCAUGCCUGUUGAAAGUGUGACUUUCUCUCUUGUCCUGGAAUAUAUGCGGAUUAUUCUUCCAGCUGUUGUCAGUUGUUUCUUGUUUUUGAUUUGGAACUUUUGAUUAUCCAGCUCUUCCAAUUUUCAUGAUAGACAGGAUGUACACUUCUGUCAUGAUAAAUAAGAUGUACUCCCAUCGGAUUUCUUCUAUAAUCCGCAUCUUUCAAAUGUCAAACAACCUCUUUACAUUUUAAGCCCUAUCAUCCAACUAGAGUUGUUGUUUCAAUUGCUUUCUUGAGUAGUCAAUGCUAGGUGAUCUUGGUCGAUUUUAAUAGGCACUUGAUUUGGGUGAUCUUGGUCUCUCUUUCCAUCUACCUUUCCAUGAGUAGGAAUCUUAUUUGUUUCCUAUCGAAUUGGCACACAAAAAAUGAGCUAAAUAAUUUAACUUGCUAUCAGCAUUAAGCUGUUCCUGAUCUCAUCUAUUUGAGGAAAAGAAGCUUGUAUUAGCACUUGAGCUACAUCCGUAUAAUCCGAAUAAUUAAUUAGAGUAACUUGCUCACAGUAUAAAACCUGUAACUUGCCUGUUAGUUCGUUCAACAUAGACAUGUAGUAUUGGUAAUAACAUGCAGCACAGUUACUCUUUUAGGCACUUGAUUUGGCAUAUAGGCCUAGAUUUUUAAACCCAUGUUGAUAACUAAGUCAAGUUGCGGGCCUUAGUUAAGCAACUCCUACACAGCUUACGAACUGACUGAAUUAGGCUUGUCUUAAAGUUAUGCGGUAUAAUUAAGAGGUUUGAGUGACCAUAACAUGCUUAGUGUUAUAGUUUAUAUUGUUUGCGUAUUUAUGCGUACAUGGUCAUGUUAUUCGUGCAAAAUGCUCUUUUUGUGUCUGGUUCGUAAAUAUUAAUGUUAACUUUCACCUACUGAAGCACGACAGAGUUCUACAAAUGGCCUUUCUUUUUUGAUGCAAUUACUUUGAUUUUCGUUCAUAUAUAUAUAUAUAUAUAUAUAACUAGGCUGGAAUACUAUUAAUAGCACCAAGCUAUUGGUGCUAUUAGUUUUUUAGCCACGGGAUUGAGAAAUUUGUGGUUAGGAUGAUGUGGGCCCCCUAGGGUUGAGUGGGUGGUUGGUUGAUAGUAUAAUGUAACGGGUAAAAAUAAUUAAAGGGUUAAAUCUAACGGUGAAAAACUCGAUAGCACCAAGCUCUUGGUGCUAUUGAUAGUAUCCAAGUCCCGACUCUAUAUAUAUAUAUAUAUAUAUAUAUAUACUAUACAUAUAUAUAUAUAAUAUAAUAUAUAUAAUAGCUAGGUUGGUAUACUAUCGGUAGCACGAAGGCCUCCGUGCUACCAAGUUAUUUUCAAUGAUACCGCUUCUAAAUCGACGAUCGGCUCUGUUAGACUUGAUCUACACUAUUGAAAGUAUUUGGAAACUAAAUUUCAUACUUUUUCGGUAUCAUUUACCUAUCAAACAAGUAGUCUAAAAAUGAACGGCUGAAAAUAAAAAUCUCAUAAAAAAUAAUGAUAGAAGACUUGAAUUUAAGAUCAGAGAUACUGAUCUUACUCUAAAUAGUAAAAAGAAUUUUCUAUAAAAAUUUUAUCAGAUUUGCAUUAUUUUACAUCGUUAAAUUUACAAAUGCAUCACAUCUACCAUUAAGUCAAUUUUGAGACCUUUUGAUUACUAGCCAAAUGAUGUCGAAAAAUUAUGAAAUUUAGUUUCCAAAUAUUUUUAAUAGUGUAGAUCAAGUCUAACACAGCCGAUUGUCGAUUUGGAAGCCGCAUCAUUGAAAACAACUUGGUUGCACGGAAGCCUUCAUGCUACCAAUAGUAUACCAGCCUAGCUCUAUAUAUAUAAUAUAUUAUAGAAUAUAUAUAUAGGAGUAGGACACUGUGCUAUUAGGAGCACAGCAGUCUUGUGCUCAAAGUUUAACGCACAGCAGCCCUUGCCCACUCUUUGUUUAUACUUAUGGUUAUCCUUUUAAAUUCUUUUUAAGAAAUUUCUUCUUCUUUUUUUACCCUGUAUUUUUCUACAUUUUUCAUUCUUUUUACUCUACUAUCUCCUACUCCCUUGUUUUUCUUCUAUAUAUAUAUAUUAUAUGAUAUAUAUUAUAUGUAUAUGUAUAUAUAUAUAUGUAUAUGUAUAUAUAUAUAUGUGUAUAUAUAUAUAUAUAUAUAUAUAUUAUAUAUGUAUAUGUAUAUAUAUAUAUGUAUAUAUAUAUAUGUAUAUGAUAUAUAUAUAUAUGUAUAUGUAUAUAUAUGUAUAUAUAUAUAUAUAUAAUAUGUAUAUAUAUAUAUAUAUAUAUAUAUAUAUAUUAAGUCGCGCUAGGUAUGCUUAUGGAAGUACGGAGCCUCCGUGCUUCCACUUUGUUUUCGAUGUUCGGACUUUCGAAUCGACGAUCGGCUCCGUUAGACUUUAUCUAGAAUAUUUGAAGUAUCUAGAAAAUAAAUUUGCGAUUUUUCGAUAUCGUGCUAUGCAUCGAUGUGUCGCUAAAAUUCAACGGCUGAAAAUAAAAAUCUUACAAAAUAUGAUGAUAUGACAUUAAAAUUUUAGAUCAAAGUUAUUGAUCUUGUUUUAUAUGGUAUAAAGAAGUUUCUAUCAAAAUUUCAUGUGAUUUGGAUAUUUCUACACCGUUAAACUUGCAACCGGCUCACCACGGCCGUUAAAAUUAUUGAUUUUGAGCCCCUUCGAUCACUAGGCAAAUGAUAUCGAAAAAUCGCAAAAUUUAUUUUCUAGGUACUUCAAAUACUCUAGAUCAACUCUAACGGAGCCGAUCGUCGAUUCGAAAGUCCGAACAUUGAAAACAAUUUGGAAGCACGGAGGCCUCCGUGCUUCCAUAAGCAGACCAGCACAACUCUAUAUAUAUAUAUAUAUAUAUAUACCAAAAUGCAUAUGUUUCUAUAUGUAUAAAGAGAAACAAAGAAGGUACCAGGAUUGUUUCCAUAUGUAUAUGUUAGGAGGUGAACUCCUAUCUGACCCUCUACUAUGUAUUUGAUAUUGUACUUUCUUCAUCACUACCGUGUGAACUUAAGGUUGCUAUCUUAUGGGUUUUUCUAUGAUAUUCUUUUGUUUUCUUUAUUGUACUAUUCUUCCUUUCAUUCUCUUCAAUUCUUUUUUUACUAUAUAUGUGGCGAAAUACUGGUGGUGUAUAUAUUCUUUACCUAUUCUAUAACUGUUCAAAGUCAAGAUGAUAGGAGUAAACAAAAAGAUCCAAAAUGUAUAGUUUGCUACUCUGCUUUUACUUCUCUCCUAUUUUUUUCAUAUUCUUAAGCUGACUUUCUCCAAAAAAUAAUGAUCUAUUAGGCAUAUCUCUCCUCUUACUUGCCUUUUCUCCUAAGCUUUUCCUGUAUCCUUUACACACAAUUAUGUAUAUUUUUUAUUAUAUUUGGGAGGGCAAAAUGUGGAGAGGAGGAGGCGAAGCAAUGGAAUCACGGGCGAUCGACACGUAUCCGAUACCAAAGUCUCGAUUCAUGUCUUGCUAUUUUAUCGAUUGAUUAUUGAUUUGCUCAUUCUUUAGACACUGUUUGCCUUAGUUUUUUAAAUUACAGCUUCUUUGAAUUUCUCUAUUCGUGAUGACUACGGACUGAUUGUUUCUCACCCUGUUUGGUGUUUAGGAUUUGGUCUGUAUACAAUGCUGAAAUUACUGCUUUCUACUCCGCAUUUUCUAAGAUGAUGGCAAGAGAGGUUUAAACAAAAAGCUUGCUGCUACGGGAAUACUACUAUAUUUUCCUACCUUUGUUGUUGCCAGGUCUUGCCUUUUCAUUUGCACACUUUGUCUUCCUGCCCUUAUCAAUUCUUUUCCUACUCUCUUUGCAACUACACAGACGAUGAUGGGAAUAGCAAUAAAAAUGAUAAAAAAAACAUAGUACUUUCAUUCCAGUUUCAACUGUAGAUUAUUCUAUACUUUGGUUUGUUGACAAAUAUUUAACGGACAGGCCAAUGCAAAAACACAAGCAUGUAUGCUGUCAUUUCUUCUUUUUUUUUUCUGUACUGUUUCUUUCGCCGCCUUACUUGACUGUUUCUUUUGCUGCCUUACUUGAUGGAGAUGCAUGGUGGAAAAACAUCAUUGCUCCCUUCCUUUUGCCUUAUUUGCUUAUGAACUGAUAAGAAUAUUUGCCUAGCACUCUCCGUGGCGACAAAAAUAUGUGAUGGUGAUCACCUACCUGAGUCUCUGAGCUCCUAUCUAGCUCUGCAUUGUUUUAUGGGUUUGUGAGUGAAUCUCUGAUGUAGACGACUAUAUAUCGUGGUGAAAGGGAAGCCAAGGGGUUGGCGGUGCAAAAUAAAAGCACAUAUGCUAUUUAAAACUUCCAACCGAUGUUUUCUUAUACAUUAUUAUUUCGGCGGCUUUCUUCUGUUCCUCUAGCGGUGCUUUUUGUUUUUUUUUUUUAUAUAACAUCUCUUUAUAUUGAUUCUUCCUGAAUUUCAUUCUUGCUACUCUAUUUGCUAUGAAUAGAGUAUACAUUGGAUUUUUUCUAAUUUGGUUGCAUGUGAGGUUUGUUUGGAACUUCACAAUGAAACUUUAUAUGGCAAAAGACUAUUCGUGCCUUUUAUUGAAUUUCGUCGAUUUUGGGGGUGUUGCUGCUGCAAUGUUUUACAGAGUUUAUCUUUCGGUGUCGCUUUUCCCUUCUCUUUUUUAUCAUGUCUUCUCCUGUUAUUUUUACCUACUUUCUGUCUCUUGCUAACUAUAUUGUACUCAGAUAAAUACAAAUCCUGUUGGUAUUUGCGUUGGCAAUUCUAUUAAUUUUAACACUUUUGACGGUUGGAUUUAAUUGUAAUGAAAUCUAGAGACUAGGGACUUGGUUGCAAAAAAAAGUCAGUAAUCAAAUUUGAAAAAUAGUGCAAAGGUUGAGGACCAAUGUUGUAAUUAACCCUACUACUAUAUGCUAACUAGAAUAGUCGACAAUAGAAUAUAAGUAAUUUCUACCGAUGGUACUAUGAUAUACCAUGCGGGUUAUUAAAAAAAAGAACAAUUGUGUAGUUUGUGAAUCAUUUUGUGGGGGCAAUUUUACAAAAAGAAUAAGUAAUAUAUAUAGGAAUCACAGUUCAUUUCUUUUCUUUUUUUUUUACCCGGUUUUCUUUGUUCGUCUCUCUGCUCAUUAUGAAUGUAACGUUUUUUUUUCUAUUGUUUGCAUUUGAGCUUAGCUUAGAAUUGAAUGAUUAAAUUAUGCAUGCAGCAAGUUGUUGUGCAAAUAAAAGUCAGAUAAUAUCCCAAAUUUAUUGGUGCAUAAUAAUAAGAGUAGUGAUGUCAACGGAUCGGGUUUGGAUCGGAUUUUCAAAAAUCCGAACCCAAACCUGAAAACCAAAUUAAAACCCGAACAUAGACCCGAACAUUGCGAGUUUUAAAAAUUCAUACCUAUAUCCGUAUCCCACCAAAAAUUCGAAAUCCGAACCCGAACCCAAACUCUGCAGGUUUUAAAAAUCCAUACCGUUGGAUGAAAGGGAUAAAAAAUUACUAAAUAUUUAUAUUAUAUAUAUGAAUAAAAAUAAAUUAUGUAUAUAUAUAAUUUAUUUGGGUCGAGUUCGGGUUCGGGUCGGGUAAAUACAAAAUCCAUACCCGUAUCCAUUUCCGUCGGAUUUAAUUUUCUAUACUUAUAACCGAAUUCAUACCCGUUUAGCUCGGGUAAAUCCGCCCCGUUCGGGUUCGGGUUCGGAUAAUAUUUGGGGCAUCCAUACCCAUUGACAUCCCUAAAUAAGAGAACCCAUAAGGUUUAUGAGGGUUGUAAACAAUUAGAAUGUGAAAUUAUUUCUGUUUACUGAAAUAGUAACAAAUCUACCCAUUUUGAUUGAUAAUAAGGAAGUAGUUUAGUUGAUUACAUGGUAAUUUCUUAGUAGGUGUUUGCAGUGGAUAACAUCUCAGUAUAUCAAACUUGCGAGAUCUAUCAUCAUAUUCUUUUGUUGGGAUUAAAUGGACAUAACGACAGUGCAUAGAGAAAUUAGAAAGAAACGGAAGAUUAUUCUCGAUCACCGAAUAAUAGGCAGGAACUCCUAAUUACCGAGCACAUAAAUAGUGGUGUUCAUGAAGUACCCUGUAACUACAAUAGCGAUUACAGUGGAACAGCUAGCAGAGGUGGUUAUUUUAUAGUAUCUAGGGUGCCAACAGAAAUAAAUGGAGCAGGCACUUCUCGGGUUGCAACUCAACGUGUUGAGCAAUUUUAUUUAGGAUUACCGAAAUAUCACCUCCGCCAACGUAAUUGCGCCGCUGCUGCUGAGGGUGCGAUAGAGGUGAGGGCGACGGCAGUGUGAUUGUUGUGGCGGAGGGCGCAGCAGAGCCACCACACGAGGGACGAGGAGGUUUGGUUUGACGAGGAAUGGGGGAGGGUGAUGGAGUGGGGAAAUUAGGGGUUCGAGGGUGACAUGUCGUCUCCAACACGGUAAGUUCUUAGAUACUCUUGCUCUAAUAUCAUACAGCUAAUUACUCUAAAAAUAUUUAGCUAUUAGAUAAUGAUACUUUACUCUUCAAGCAUGAUUCAUGAAUAUCAGAUGCGACGAAUAAAUUCUCACCAGAGUAAUCUUCUAGCCUUACAUUGUUACUUUUGAUUAGAUAAAUUCUCACCGGUUUUGUAAGUUGAGAAUUAACUCAUCCAACAUAGGUUAACGCUUCAAAUCUUCAAUGUUUGAGUUGCAUAGAGCUCUAUAUAUCAAUCCCUUUGUCUUUUGUAGUUGGAAUCUGCAGAGUGCUUACAUUGAUGGUUGUCCUUAUUCAUCUCAUUGUUUUUCCAUCAACUUUUUUUUUUUUUUGGGUGUCAUCCAUCUUUAGUUCUAAAUUACGUAGGUUUCAUAUUUUAAAUCUUGCUAAUCAUUGUUUUACUACUUUGCAACAUACUUUUUUCUGUAUAAACCCUUUUUGUCUUUCCUUUGAUAUGAAUAUUUCAGUUAUAAUAUAAUUGUAUUUUGUUUGUCAUAUGCUUAUCUUUGUUGGUUGAUUGCUAUGUUUAAGACUAUUAAGUUAUUCAUUUGAAUUCAUGCAUGCCAUUGUAAUUUUUUCUCUUUCUUCAUCUGACAAAUUCAUAAUAGUUUGAGUAAUGCAUUUUGGUAAGCAUUAAUUUCAGUGAUAAUGCCAUGACUUGCUACCGCUCUAUAGGGUACAACUCAAGUAAAUAUUCUUCAAUGUUCUUACUGAGGAUUGAGACACAGUUUGUUGACUUAAACUAACAGAAGGAACUAUUGCUGAAUUCCUCCCUCCAAUGUUCUGCUGCCUUUUUGGUUGGUAAUUGUUGUCACUGUUUGUUUCCUGUUUAGCUCGAAGUUGACUGUUUAAAAGGAUAGGUUUAUGCACUUUGGAAAUGAUCAUGUAUUAGGCUUCCACAAUGACUAGGCUUCAGCAAUUAAUUCAAGUUGUUGUCUCGUCGUGGUGUUGUUUUGUGAAAAUUGGGUGCUUAUAUGUGAGUAAAUGGCGUAGAUUAAAAUUUAAAUUUCUUCAACUGUUUGCGUGCACCAAUAGCUGAAAUCUGAAACUUCUACUAUUGCUUCUGCUAUUACUUUUUUUUUUAGCUCUUUAUUAUUGCGAUUAUUUUUCUUAAUCUGCGCCAAAUAAACAAAAUUAGUAUUGUUAUCCAUACUUUUUCCUUUUUUCCUAAAUAGAUUGGGUUGGCUAUCUAAACUGAUUUUUUUAUUUUACUUAAAAUAUUUUUAUAAAAAAAUAUAAUUUCAUUUCAUUCUUUAAUUUAUCUUUAAUUUUUAAUUAUUCAAUAUAAAGAUAAAUAAUAUUUAAAAAUAUUAAUGUAUAAUAAAAAAAAUAAUAAUAUUAAUAAUUUUAAUAAUUUACUGUUAUACUGGCUUUUCGCCGCAUCGCGCGGGGCCGUGCGCCCCUUAACUAGUAAACUAAUAAAAGGCUAUAAUAUGGAUAAUUUAUUCCUUCGCACUUUUAUGUGCAGUGGUUCUCUUUCUAAACGACUUUAUUUGAGGUACGAGUUGGCGUUUGCCUUGGUAGGCAUCAGAUUCCACCAUUUCCAGUUUUUACUAAUGUGUGUACAAAAUAAUAUAUACACGUACAGUACUCUUUUCUAUUGAAACCGCGUAGCAAUUCUUGAACCACACAAUUUAAAUCGUGAUGUGGACACAAUCCGGUAGUGAAAAUAGUAAAAAGUUUUGUCCGAAUACAUGAGCAUCUUAUUUAAUAUAUUCUUUUGAUUUAUCUAAAAAGUAUAUAAUAUUUACUGGAUAAGGUGUGAAACCAAAUGUCUAGACUAAAAUAUCAUAUUCGAUCAUUAAGUCAUUUUUUAAAUAACAUAAAUUAUUUUAUUAAUAAAAUAUAUUUUUCUAUCAAAUAAUAAAUUCAUAAGAAAGUUUUCAAUCCAAAUAAAUUAUUUUGGCAUUCAAAAAAGGCCUUCGAUAACAUUUAUAUUAAAGCCUUUAAUUAGGUCAGUCAAAAAUUACUUGUCAAGUCUUAUAUAUAAAAAACUUAGACAUUUAUUUGUAUACAUGCACACAUAAAUAUGUAAAUACAUAUGUACAUAUCUGUAAUAAUUUUUAUUUGCAUCCAACAGUAAAACGAAGGUAAACAUGUUUAUAAAUGUCGGACUAUGAAUUAUUUUGAUUCUACUGUCUAAUUUUUAAAAUUUCAAUAUUAUUACUUAACUUUUUAUUUAUUUGAUUUGAGCUAGUUGAUAACACUUUUAUCUUAACAUUUGCAUGCCUUAUUUAUCUUUAUUUGCUUGAUUAGCACAUUUUAAUUAUAUAAUUUAUGUGACUAUAAUUUUAUUAAAACAAGUUAUAAACCAAAAUUUUUUAUUGGAAGAACCAUUUAAAUGAAACAAAUUAAAAAGUUAUUAUCAAGAUUUAAAUUUUAAAAGAUUGAAUACUCUUGAUCAAAAUUUACAUGUUUACUUGAAAUAAAAUAUAUUCAUGAACAUUAGUAAUGUCAUAUAUAAUCGUGUCCUCCGUGAUCAAGCCAUUUUUUGAGUUUCGAACAACUCAAUUGAUCGAGUUAACCUAGUUUGACCGAGUUUGACUUCAAAUCUAGGGCAACCGUACGUGUGCCCUUAUCAAAUUUGGUUGAAAUCUAUGCCGAUUUCACGUCGACUCUUAAUGGUCAAAUCGAAAGUGGGAGAGAAACCGCGUAGUAAGCCUAAAAUUGAUAUUAAAUGAUAAUAAUAAUAAAUUCUCAGCUCAUGAUAAAUCACCUUUUAAAGCCAAUAUAUUUGCAAGAAAUCCAUAUUUAUUAAAGUUUCAACCCUAAAGUAACAUCUAUAAAUCUAGCUAGCAAACUCUUUAUUAAUUACAUACUUUUACCACAUAUGUAUUUUCCAAAGUCCACGUACUUCUCAAACAUAUAUAUGUAGCGUAGGAGUAGAAAAUAAGCAUAUUUCACCAUCUCAAUCACUGUGAUAAGGGAAAAGACGUAGAAAAAAGUUUGAGCAUCCGUUUGGUUCGGAAUUAAGGAGUGGAAUAACUUCUUAACCCCGAAAUUAUUUCCAAACACCCAAUUUGGAGGGUGGGGUUAGCUAACCCCACCACAAAUGGGCUAUCUUGGGAUAGCGUAUUUAGGGUGGGGUAGCUAACCCCACUCCACCUCACUACUCCAACCAAACAAAAUAUUAUUUUAUCCACUAUCCUUCUUAUCUCAUCUAUUCAAACUAAACAUUAUUUUACCUAUACCUGGAUUAAACUCAAUUCUCAACCAAACAUAAAAUUACUCUAACCCCUCAAUUCUGAACUUAACUCUAUAUCGGGAAUAACAAGUUUUUACUUAACCCCGAAACAAACGGUGGCUCAGAGUUUAUUCCAAUACCUUUUUUGCGCUUCCCUAUUGCCGGACAUAUAGCUGGUUUCUGCAGAUCUCUUUAAUAGGUACGAGCCCCUCUUCGUGGUUGCCCCUUCCUGGGUAUUGGGUUCGCUGGCGAUCCGAUGUCAUCAGCGCGUGGAAAUCGGUUGUCCGCGGCUUCUCUAAUUGGCUCGUUUGUUGAUGCACGCCUCUCGUGAUCUUGGUUGAUCCUUCCUCGGUUCGCCUGCGAUCCAACAACAUCGACGCUGGGACGAAGUCUAUGAUCUUGGUUCAUCCGUGAUGUGACGUCUGCAUCUUGACCUCCGUUCUUUGCGCUGUCGUCUUUCUUGUGAGCUUUCUUUAUCGGAGUAGAGGAGGGCAUGUAGUCUGCUGCUGUGCUGCUGAUGGGAUAAUCCGGAUCAGCUUUCGCCUCUUGUUUGACCUUUUCACUCUUUUUGUCAGCUUCUUCUCUUGCAGUAUCAAACUUUCCAGGUUCCUGAGGUGAGGGCUUAUUAUCACCUGCUGCGCCUGGUGUUUUCACUCCAUUCAUCGCCGAGCUCGGAGGUCCGUUCAUUGCCGGGCUUGGAAGUUGUCCCGAAGCUGGCGGCACUUGCACGGUGUGGCUGCUUGGCGGCUUGGCCUCCGGUUGGCUGGCAGGAGUUCCAUCAUCAGCGUCAUCACCCCCACAACAGAGGAACUUCAGACACAUACUAGUGUAAUACCUCUCUCUCUCUCUCUCUCUCUCUCUCUACCCAAGUUAAGGGAGUUUUGAGGUUAGUAUUAUGAUAUUAAAGCGUUUAAUUAUGGAUAAGAACGGGUGGCAUAUAUGCACCAUAAUGCUUUGCGUGGAAUCUAAUUCUGCGUUAGCUUCGUCUUAAAGCUGGUAAACCGCGUUGAAAGUCAGUCUCCCAUUAAUGAGAUGCCCUAAUGAUUGAGUCAUAAAGCCAAUGAUUAUUAUUUGAUUACAUAUUUACUCGGUUGGUAGGGCUGUCAAUAAGCUCAUGUUGGCUGUCAAUAAGCUAAACAUGAGCGAGCUGGCCAAACCUAGUACGAGCCAACUCAUUAAAAUAUCGAGUCAAAAAAUUUAAAUGUGUAUAAGCAGUCCGUGGAUUUGAACUCAUAAUCGUUCGUUAAUAAACGAGGUGAACGCGAGUUGACUCACAAAUAACAAGUUAAAAAAGAUUAGAAAAAAAAUAUAUAUAGAAAAUAAACUUCUGAAAUUUUAUCUAUUAAAUUUUGAUCAGACGGUUGAAAUUUUAUAUAUAAUGAAUCUUUUUAUAAUUGAGUUAGGCUUUAUAUCUAGGUUGGACUAAAAAUUAAAUAAUAAAAAUAUGUAUUAUAUAUAUAUAAUAAUUAAGUUAUAUAAAUAUAAAAUAUAUGUAUUUGUGUUGUUACCAACUCGAACACAAGCGAGCUAACUCUAGCUCGUGUUAGGCUCGUUUAUUAAACGAGCUGAAAAAUUCACCUCAUAUUCGGCUUGUUUACUACACGAACGAUUCAUUCUCAAACUCUUUUCGAACAGAACAUGACUUGGCUCGGGAAUAGCGAGCUGAAUUACUACCCCUAACGGUAGGGGUUGGGAAUAAUUAAGAGACAAAAAUUAGGCCGAUUUACCAAAUUAGCUAUUUGAGGAAAAAGUUUAUAAUGCACCUGUUAUGGUGCUGAUAUAGCAUUCUCAAUUAAUCAGAUUGUUUUUCUUAAUUAGUUCAUCCAUUCCAUGAUUAUUAGUAAAAUAUUUUUAUUAUAUUUUUCUCUAAAAAAUUGAUAUGGUAUAAUUAAUUACAUAGUAGACUUCCUCCUAUUUGAAAAUGUGGGAUCGACUUUGAGGUAGAAAUAUAGGGGCAAAUUGGGAAGGCAUUUGAAAUUUAUAUUUUUUAAAAAUUAUUAUCUAAUUCAAAAUAUUUUUUAGACUCAUUAACUCAAAAGUAACAACUUUUAUAAAAAUAAAAAAUAUAUAAUCUUAACUCAAAAUAUAUANNNNNNNNNNNNNNNNNNNNNNNNNCACUCGCCUCUGCCUGCUCAGGCAUCUCGGGAGAUCUAGCACGAUCCUGCGCCAACUGCGCACGCUCCCGCAACGACGGUCGGCCUCGGCGACGAUACAUAGCUGAAAAGAACAAAUCGGGGUCAGAUACAACAAAACACUCUCGACCCAAUCAAACGAAAGUCUAGAAGGCAGCCCCUGUUUCUCCUCGAAAUUAUGUCGUCUGCAGCCAACAUAAUUUCUCAGGCCAAAACAGAAACUCCUUCAGUCACUCACUCUACUCCAAGAGGAAUUAAAACAUAUAAUCAUUGACUUUCGCAAUAAAAUUACGCCUCUCACGUCUUGCUUCCCUAAGGUUUGCCAAACUUAGGUUUCCUAGGUCCCAACGACCUACAGCAAAGCUCUGAUACCAACUUAAUCUGUCACGCCCCGGACUACACGUUCCCCGGCCACGCCGACAAAUCCGCCGUAUACAAAGAAAUUUUCCCUGUAUACGAAGCGAUAGCUGUACCUGUAAAUCAAACACUACUACGAACAGUAGUAGAGAGCUGCUAGAGAAAAACUGAAGCUAAAUAAAACAGAGUUUCAUAUACAUAGUUCAGAUCCAAAAUACAGAGCUACUCGCACUGGCGAGUUAAGUCACUAUGUACAUAAUCUCGAAACCAAACCUCUACCUGCAGUAGGGCACCUCUAGCUCAGCACGUCGGGUAGGGCUCUAACUCGCGACGCCCUUGCCUCGAUCCUGGUCCGCAGUCGGUGCAGCAGCCGGAACCUGUGGCUCUGCAAAAACAUAGGUAACAACUGGGCGUGAGAACUACUGUAAAAACAAGUAGUUCUCAGUGGGUACCGCCCAAAACAACAUCGGUCACCUACUAAGUCUACAGAAGGGAGCAAGGAUAGAAGGAAAGCAGGAAGCAUACUCUACCACUAUCAUCCACUACACUAUCAUGCUCUACACUAACCAAUUGUAGGAAAUAUCAAAUCUGAUCCAAUCCAAUCGGGACUGCAAACAUACCCGUCCCCGGGACUGUGAAUACACCCGUCCCUGCCCCGUUGCGACUAUCCAGCUCAAUCCACACUAACUGGUCCGUGGAGAGCAAGUCCAACUGGCAUGAGCGACACCAACGCAAAAGCACAAGCCCAACUCCGGAGUGGCACUCGUGGGCGCUACCCAACCGAGUAUGCAGCGUAUCUCUGUCGAGCUCAAUCAGGCUCCAACUAGCCAAAGUCAAGUAAUCGACUCAAAUUGAUCUAACAAUCACUCAGGUAACGUGCCCUCGGCACAAUCUGACGCCAAAAAGGCGAUACGGGUUCACCGUCAACUCUGACGGCACCCAACAGUCCGAAACGACCUGAUCGACCCUGUAAAAAUCCACUCGGCGAACCAGCACGAGUGUAAAUACAUUCUCAACUACCUGGAGUACUCGUCUCGAAGAAACUGCGACAGUACAAUUUUCUAACGGCUUCUAGAGCUAAAUCAGGUAGUUAAAACUGGUGACAGGUCCAAAUCGCAGGUUUUCUCCUAAUUCAAUUUCCAAGUCCAACAUGUAUAAACUAAUUAAUUAUAAAGCAUGCUCAAAAUUCAGUUCUCACAUUCAAGCACAUAAUCCAUGGAUUUGAGCUAAACUAAAUUACCAAAAAUUCAGAUCUAUACAUGUCGACGAUUAUGAACUUAGGAGUCGAAACCGAUGUAACCCACCUCAAGUGCAAUUUCCUGGCAGCGAACUCAGCCUCGGCCACCCGCGAUGCUGCUGGAUUCCUCAGGGACCACCUAGACCGGUCGCCGAGCUAAAACGACCAAAACAUCACAAAUCAGCCUAAGUUCACAGCAGCUGAAAGAGACCAAGUUUCGACCAAGCUAACCUCGUCCAAAAAUUGCAAGUGAGGGCUCCGUGGAAUCCUCUCGCAGUCUAGAAUCCAAUGAACCAAGUUUCGUCGCGAUCCGACGCUCCUACGCGGAGAACGAGCCGAAAUACUAACAGUCGACGGUAGAUUCUGCGAAAACAGCACUUAAGCUCACAUCAACGAUACCCGAAGUACUCGGAGCAAUUGCGACCAAAAUGCUCACCUCAACAGCGACAACCCUCGGCGCGAUGUCCAGGACAGCGAAGACGCACCCUCGCCCGGCCUCCUCGCAAUGCCCCGGCAACAAACGCUCGCUCGAACGGCUCGCGGCGCGACGUCGGCGAAUCCCCGGCUCAACCGUGCUCCACCUCCACCAAGCCUAGAGAGAGAGAGAAAGAAGAAAGCACAAAAGCCUUCUCUCUCUUCCUCUGUUCGGUUUCCAACUGAUAUAGAGAGGAAGGGAAGGAAUCGUUACAAACGAGGUAGAAAAUUACGGAUUUAGCCCUUACCAACUCCCUUGUACCGGUACACGGAUUGCUGUACCGGUACAAGGCCAAACCCGAGAGCAACUGAGUUCUGUCGCUCGCUCUGUACCGGUACAAAUGGACCCUUGUACCGGUACAACAAGCGACUUCCCAUGAAGGUUGUACCGGUACAGCACAAACCUUGUACCGGUACAGCAGAGUAAAAAUCCUGCAAUUUCGCAGAUUUUCACACAGAAUGCUGCCCUCGCGUCGCACGGAGUCCGUCUCGCGUCUAUUUGACGCCAACGCGACUCGGGCUUGUCUCGACACUCUCCAGAGUUGUCGACAAGUCCCCACUGACAGAAACCGGGGUCUCACAGAAAGAAAGUGAAAAGUUUUUUUAGAGGUGAGGUAUUUUUGUUGUUGUUGUUGUUAUUAAUUCGUUAUCUGUAUUUUUGUAUCUGUGUAAUACUUAAAUUUUUUUUAAACUUAUCUAAAUAUUUUUUUUAUUUUUUUAAUGUUUCUUUUUAGUUUUUU
rnacentral:lncRNA from 1 species